CCGUUCGUGCAUGAAGCCACAUCAACAGCAACACUUGAACCAUCAACUUUUCCUUUAACCACUAGCAUGCUUUCAAGUUUCAACACUAACAGUUCCAUCACAUUUCAGUUUCAAAAUCACCGUUGAACCUUGGGAAUUAACCACCUUAUUUGCAAGCUGAACCUGAAUGCCGCUAUGUUCACCAAUUAAUGGUUUUGUAUUUAUCAAGCAGAAGAUUGAAUUAUAUUGAAUGGGUAAGGUUCUACCUUUUUUCAGUUACUAAAUCAAAGACAUCCAUUUAUAAUUAUCAACACAAAUUUAGUGCUAUCUGAUUAUUAUACCAACACCCACCAAAAUUUAUCAGAUUUCACAACAGAUACAACCUCAUGGCCAUAAUGCCAUAUUAACCAGAUAGAUAUUAUAAGAAACAGUUUAGACUCCAAAGAGUUGGUUUCUUUGUACUUUGCUUAAAUUGAUUCGUGUCUUCCUUAGAGAAUUCCUUUGAAACCCUUAUCAGUAGACUAAUCAAACACAAGGACGCAAUGCCUUUUGCAUUUGCAAAAUCAGUUCUUAAUGUAGUUGAAAAAUUGCAUUCAGGGAUUAGGGUCAUUGAAGGACAACAGAUAUAUCCAUGCCUUAUAUUAUGAUUGAAAUUUUAUAUUAAAAUUGCAUUUAAGGCAACAACUAGCUUUCACAUUAAGGCAUCAUCCAACAUUUUGAGCCAGCAAGACAAUCACUUACAAAAAUCAAGGAACAAAGUAUAUCCAUCGAAUUUGGAGUUAGUCAUCUCAUGUAAACCAUACCACUAGUGACAGUUUCNNNNNNNNNNNNNNNNNNNNNNNNNNNNNAUUAAGUUCAUCCAACAUUUUACUCUAUAGUCAACGAGACAUCUAUGAUCUAUCCAUUAUCCCUAGUAUCUCAUCCAUCUGUUACCCUGUAGUCAUUGAGGUAACAACUAUCUUUCACAUUAAGGCAUCAGUCAACAUUAGAGACAAGGGUCAUUAAGCUCAAAAUGCAAAAUUACUUCUAGUUGCAGUUGCAGAAUUGAAUUUAGGGACUAAGGGUCAUAAAAAUAGAAUAUAUAUCCAUUCAUGCAUUAUUAUCCAUUCAUGCAUUAUUAUGAAUAAAAAUUCAUAAUUUUUUUAAUUGAAAAGUGGACACCGAUAGAGACAAUUGCUUGAGUAGCAAUUAAAGCAACAACUAACUUUCAUAUCAGGGACUAGGGUCAAUCAGUUCAUCCAACAUUUUACUCUAUGGUAACUGAGGCAUCUAUGAUCCAUCCGUUACAAAAUUUACAAGACAAAGUAUAUUCAUCGAUUCCAACUUUCACAUUUGUGCCUUAUUAUUUUUCGUCAAAACACAAUUUCAUUUAAGGCAACAACUAGCUUUCGCAUUAAGGCAUCAUCCAACAAAAAUCAGGGAAAAAAGUAAAAUCUUGUUAUUAUCGAAUUUGGAAUUAGUGGGUUCAUGUAUACGUAUACUAUACCACCCUUUAUAGAUAAUGAAAAGAAAAAUCAUCUAAGUGACAUUUUCACAAUUAGGGUCAUAAUAAGACAAUAGAAGACACCAUGCACAUUUUGAAUAAAAGUUCAUAUUCAAAUUUCUUUAAAGGCCACCAUCCAACUUUUCCUUUAUGAAUAAAGAGUUCGUAAUGCAUUCUACUCUAAGGUCAUUGAAGUAUCUAUUCCUUAAAAAACUUAUGAAACAUUCGGAACUAGGGUGAUUAAGAUCAUAAUAAGUCACUAAGUUUCAUUCUCAGGAAGACAGUGUAGAAAAGAAAUUGAUUUAGUGUGGUCCAAACAAUAAUUAUCUUAGAUUUUGCAUCAUCCUGCAUUUUUGGCUUAUCAAGAAAAUCCCUUACAAAAAUCACGGAACAAAGUAUAUUCAUCUUAUUGUUGAAUUUUGAGUUAGUGGGCUCAUGUUUACCACACAAUGCAUGAUAAUGAAAAAAAAUUCAUCGCAGUGACAGAUUCACAGUUCGGGUCAUAAUGCAUUUUACUCUGACGCCAUCGUCUAAUGGAGGCAUCCAUUCCUUACAAAACUUAUGAAAUAUUAGGUAAAAGGUCAUUAAGAUCAUAAUUCAAAUCACUGCAAAAUUGAAUUUAGGGACUAAGGGUCAACAAAGCACAAUAGAAAUCCAUUCUUGCAUUUUGAAUAAAAAUUCAUAUAUAUUUUUUGAUUUUUGACAAUAAAGAGGACACAUAUAGAGACAAUUGUUUGAGUGGCAAUUAAGGCAACGUCUUGCUUUCACAUUCAGGGACUAGGGUCAUUAAGAUCGUCCAACAUUUUACUCUAUAGUCAUUGAGGCAUCUAUGAUCCAUCCAUUACAAAAUUUAUAAAACGUAGUAUAUUCAUCGAUUCCAAUGUUCAAAUUUAGGGUCUCGGCACAGAGCAUAUCAGUUUCUUUUGAAUGUUCUUGAAAACAUUUUGUUUGAUUGUCUAAUAUCACAUAAGGUUGAGAUUCAAACAAUUAUUAUGAAAAAAAUAUAUAUAAACUAGGAAGAUUGAUACUUGACAAAAUUCAACAAUAUAAGCUCCACUCAUGAAAUCAAAACAUAAAAAACUGAGACAGGAAUCAUAUACCUCAUUUUCAAAUUUGGGAUAGAAAGUUGUUCUAGUUCGUGCAUGAAACCACUUCAACACCAACACCUGAACCAUAAACCUUUCCUUUACCCACCAGCAUGCUUUCAAUUUCAACCCUAACAGUUCCAUGAGAUUUCGGUUUCAAAAUCACCGUUGAACCUUGGGAAUUAACCACCUUAUUAGCAAGCUGAACCUGAACACCGCUAUGUUCACCAAUAAAAUGUUUUGUAUUUAUCAAGCAGAAAAUUGAAUUAUAUUGAAUGAUCAAGAAUGAUAAAAAUGGGUAAGGUUCUACCUUUUUCAGUUACUAAAUCAAAGACAUCCAUUUAUAACUAUGAACACAAAUUUAGUGCUAUCUGAUUCUUAUACCAACACCCACCAAAAUUUAUCAGAUUUCACAAUAGAUCUCCAGUAAAAAAGACUAACAGAUACAACCUCAU
rnacentral:lncRNA from 1 species